CAACCCUUGUUUGGCAUUGAGAAAACAGGGGAAACAGCUCGAAUGAUGACUGACCCCUUCUCUACCGCCGUAGUUUUAAGUUGUGACAUGUCAGCCAAAAAGAAGAUGGUACAUGAGAUGAAUUAUUUCUCAACUUUAAUUUACAUUUACAUUUAGUUGACUCAAAAACCGACGUAGUGGAAAUUCAGACUGAGUUAACAUCAGAGGUCUGAUGGGGCCACUGCCAGUCGCACCUCCAGAACAAGGGAGCAAAAGCCACAGAGGAGAGAGCGAAAGACAAAGCGAAGAGAAGGAGCUAAGUUGUGUGGGGAGUAGGAGAUCCUGGGGACGACCAAGGACACACUGGAGAGACUACAUCCUUCGGCUGGCCUGGGAAUGCCUCGGGAUUCCCCCGGAAGGGCUGGAUGAAGUGGCUGGGGAGAGGGAAGUCUGGGUGUCGCUGCUAAAGCUACUGCCCCCGCGACCCGACCUCGGAUAAGCGGUAGAAAAUGGAUGGAUGGAUGUAUUCUGUUUUUAUUUGUUUAACACAACGUCCCAACUUCAUUGGAAUUGGGGUUGUGCAUGGAUGGUGAUGAAACAACAGCACAAAUGGUCUAUUUCAUCUUGAGGGCAGCACAGUGCAUGGUGGUUAGCAUGUCUGCCUCACAGUUCUGAAGUUCAGGGUUCAAUCUGGGCUCUGAUUUUCCUGUGUGAAGUUUGCAUGUUUUCCCCAUACUUACAUGAGUUUUAUCCGGGUACUCUGGCUUCCUCACACAUUCCAAAAUACACAGGUUAGGUUCACUGAAGACUAAAUUGUACAAAGAUGUGAGUGUGAAUGGUUGUUUGUCUGUAUGUGCCCUGCGAUUUACUUGUGAUCCACCCAGGUGGUACCCCGCCUCUCUCCCAAAGACAGCUAUGAAAGUGUCCAGCUCACCCGUGACCCAGAUGAGGAUAAUUGCUAAGCGGUAUAGAAAAUUGAUGGAUGGAUUUUAUCCUGCUCAAUGUCAGGGGACAGACAUGCGCUAAUUGCGUCUGAUUUAGGGGGAGAAGUGGACUAGUCCCGGAGUGGUUGCCAGUCUGUUCCCGGGCAAUUGUGAAUGGGCCAUUGAGUGGGAACUGAUUCCACACCAGGUUAAUUGACUACUCUAAAUUGCCCGUAGGUGUGAAUGUGAGUGCGAAUGGUUGUUUGUUUGUAUGUGCCCUGCGAUUGGUUUGCAACCAGUUCAGGGUGUACACCGCCUCCUGCCCGAUGUUGGCUGGGAUGGGCUCCAGCGCGCCCGCGACCCUAGUGAGAAGAAGCGGCUCAGAAAAUGGAUGGAUGAAUGGAUGAUUCCACACCAAGUGAGCUACAUGAGCCACCAAACUACAGAAUGAAUGGGUUGGCUGGAUGCAUCGACAAACCCCUGAGGGGGGAUGGGUACUGAAGGUGAAGGGAGUAGAUUGACUGAUGAAAUGUUGGAUGACGUGCAUGCCCAAAUCAGUGGUCUGAUGGGUAGCUGGUUAGAUGUCUGACUUGGUAGGUGGGUGGGCUUUCUGUCAGCUGCAGGUGCUCUUACAAACACUGGGCUUUUACAUGCCAGUGUCAAGAGAUCUCAUUUUUAUUCCUGGAGCCUGUUAUGUUCCAGCUAGCCUAUAAAUGGCCACAAAAAUAAUUCAUUUCAUUGUUAAUGGGAGAGUGGAACGGGCAGAGUUUGGAGCAGACUGCACAGCUGAAGAUGUCAAGGGUAGGGAGGAAUAUAUUCUCUUCUCAACAUUUCAUACCACUGUCUCCUUUUCUUUAACAAAUGCAUUUGUUCAAAAUGAAAGUGUCAAGAAAUACUAA